UCCUGUGGCAGCUGUGUUUAUGGGCUGUCUUGGUGUCUUAAAGUGAAUGAAGCUUCUAGUCCCCUCCUAUAUUUGUGUGGCCUGCUUAACACUCCUGGGCAGAAUGCUAGAUGUACACACAUGUGGGAAAACUCAAGCUGUGGAUGUGAGGACACUGGAGGGACUUUGAAAGUCUACCAGAAACCCAAACCAGGUGGUUCAGUGUCAGCGUCUGCCAGCAAGCUUACAAGUAACAUCUCUCUGGAUGGUCCUGAUAGCUGACUAUUUACUAGGGAGAUCCUUCCCAGCAAACUUAAAGAAACAUCCUCUUGGACAAUCAAAUCAAUGCCAGCACUCCUAGCUAUAGCAUGAAUGGAGUCAUAAAUUUCUAGGCCAGUUGUCUGGCUAGGGCUCUCAUCUGUUACUGGGUUGAGUUGAGGUGAGAGUGAGACCUCUUGGCUCUUGGGCUGGAGGUGUGCCCAGUAUCAAGUUUCCUGACACAUUAAUGGAAGAGCAGCGGCACUGGUUAGUCUAGUGAAAGCCUUUAUCACAGUGUUUACAUUUGGAGGAAGGCUUCCUUUGUUUUUCCCCACAAUCCUUGAAAAUAUGUCUCUCUUUUUCACAUCUAUAACACUUCUUUCUUUUUGGAGGCCACAGGACCACAGCCAAAAUAUCUUGCUUCAACAGUGCUUCAGCCACUUCCACAUUCUCUGCUUGCCUUUGCAAAGAUUUUGCCACCUAUCUAUAAAUGCAUCAUAGCCUUCUUGUGGCCCUUGAUGCACCUUAAUGAAGGAAAGGCAUCCUCCAGAGAGAUCAGGUAUUUUCCUC